rnacentral:tmRNA from 1 species
GGGGAUGUAACGGUUUCGACUGUGGGAUCGUACUGGUCAGGGCGGCAUGCAGAGUUGCCCGCACUCUUAAAACGGGGGCAAACAAUUAACUGCCAAAGACGAAGAGUUCGAAGCAGAAUUUGCUUUAGCGGCUUAAUUUAGGCCGUGCGGGUCUCCGGAAUGCGGUUCUGAAGUCCGGAAGGCUUGUAACAAAUCAGGACUUGUUUCCCCGUCCCGGCUAAGGAGCGGGGAGAGACUUGCCGGUUAACCGCCGGUUUAGCCUGGCGGCCUUUAGGGUUUGUUUUUCCACCCCGGGGGCUGCGAGAAAAUAAGGAAGAACUAAGCUUGUAGAGGUUUUGGCCAUGCCUCAUAGGACGGGGGUUCAAUUCCCCCCAUCUCCAUCC